ACGAACGCUGGCGGCGUGCCUAAUACAUGCAAGUCGAACGCUUCUUUCCUCCCGAGUGCUUGCACUCAAUUGGAAAGAGGAGUGGCGGACGGGUGAGUAACACGUGGGUAACCUACCCAUCAGAGGGGGAUAACACUUGGAAACAGGUGCUAAUACCGCAUAACAGUUUAUGCCGCAUGGCAUAAGAGUGAAGGGCGCUUUCGGGUGUCGCUGAUGGAUGGACCCGCGGUGCAUUAGCUAGUUGGUGAGGUAACGGCUCACCAAGGCCACGAUGCAUAGCCGACCUGAGAGGGUGAUCGGCCACACUGGGACUGAGACACGGCCCAGACUCCUACGGGAGGCAGCAGUAGGGAAUCUUCGGCAAUGGACGAAAGUCUGACCGAGCAACGCCGCGUGAGUGAAGAAGGUUUUCGGAUCGUAAAACUCUGUUGUUAGAGAAGAACAAGGACGUUAGUAACUGAACGUCCCCUGACGGUAUCUAACCAGAAAGCCACGGCUAACUACGUG
rnacentral:rRNA from 1 species